GUGUGUCUGUGUGUGUGUGAUUGUGUUCAGCUCAGCCUCUAAAUGAACUCAGAACUCACCAGAGACUCUGGUUCAUUCUGUUACUUUCCUCCUCUCCAUCUCCUUUUUCUUCUCUGUACAUUUAUGAAGCAGCUGCAGGGUACACCUGAAUUUUUCACUCAACUUGAAACAUUCUCAACUUGCACAGAAGCGUUUUCACUUCAGUUCACACUGUCGUGGGUAAAUCUUUGUCCUUCUGUUGACUUUGUAUGCAAUAGCGUUGCGUGUAAAAUUCUCUUUUUUGUUUUGUCUCCAGUCUUGUUUCAGUUACAUUCCUCACACCAGUUUCCACUGAAACUUCCACUGUUGUACUGUUUGAAAGUUAGGAAAACAUAAUGUAACCCCAACCAGCAGCACAUUUAGGAGGUUCCAACAUGUCAGGUCGUCUACCCCUCAUCCUCCUCUCCAUCCAAUGAAAAAUGUCAACUGCAAUCGACACCCAGACCUCCAGGAAGGAGGAGAGCUCCCCCGAGCAACUUAACUGCUGGCAGGGAGAGGUCUACGUCUUACGCCCUCCAUUCUCUCCUCAAAUCCCCGAGCAGGAGAGAACAAGAGGCGAAGUGGAUCCCGAGUUUCAUAUUUCAGCCUCCCUGUUCGACUCGCGACUCGUUAGUUUAAUUUACAGGAGAGCUGAGCGGCGUCUCUCCCUCUGUGACCAGUAGAGAGUUUUAUGUCAUCAAAGGCGUUUUAACAGCUGUCUGUCUGCAGUUCCUUCAUGCAAUCUGGGCUCACAAGCUGUACGACUGACUCAUCGAUUAAGGAAGGUGUCUGAAACUAAAAAGUCAAUCAAAAGAAAGGCAAAGUGUCUUCACAAGAAAAAAUAGAAAGUGCUAAACUACAUUUCAGCAGGAAAUUGUAGAUCUGGAUAUUGGUUCACAUUUAGAUUAAAGGUUUAAAUCAAUUUCUGUCAAAUAGUAAAAUUAAACCCAAUCUGAGUUCUC